rnacentral:rRNA from 1 species
UCGUACGACGAGUUUGAUCAUGGCUCAGAUUGAACGCUGGCGGCAGGCCUAACACAUGCAAGUCGAGCGAGAAAGGUCUUCGGACUGAGUACAGCGGCGGACGGGUGAGUAAAGCGUAGGAAUCUACCUGGUAGUGGGGGAUAACUUGGGGAAACUCAAACUAAUACCGCAUACGCCCUACGGGGGAAAGCGGGGGACCUUCGGGCCUCGCGCUAUCAGAUGAGCCUGCGUAGGAUUAGCUAGUUGGUGAGGUAAAGGCUCACCAAGGCGACGAUCCUUAGCUGGUCUGAGAGGAUGAUCAGCCACACUGGGACUGAGACACGGCCCAGACUCCUACGGGAGGCAGCAGUGGGGAAUAUUGCGCAAUGGGCGAAAGCCUGACGCAGCCAUGCCGCGUGUGUGAAGAAGGCCUUAGGGUUGUAAAGCACUUUCAAUUGGGAAGAAAAGUUGGUCGUUAAUAGCGGCCAGCCCUGACAUUACCUUUAGAAGAAGGACCGGCUAACUCCGUG